rnacentral:rRNA from 1 species
CCUACGGGAGGCAGCAGUGGGGAAUAUUGGGCAAUGGAGGAAACUCUGACCCAGCGACGCCGCGUGCGGGAUGAAGGCCUUCGGGUUGUAAACCGCUUUCAGUAGGGAAGAAGCGAAAGUGACGGUACCUACAAAAGAAGCACCGGCUAACUAUGUGCCAGCAGCCGCGGUAAUACAUAGGGUGCAAGCGUUGUCCGGAAUUAUUGGGCGUAAAGAGCUCGUAGGUCGUUUGUUACGUCGGAUGUGAAAACCUGAGGCUCAACCUCAGGCCUGCAUUCGAUACGGGCAAACUAGAGUUUGGUAGGGGAGACUGGAAUUCCUGGUGUAGCGGUGGAAUGCGCAGAUAUCAGGAGGAACACCAAUGGCGAAGGCAGGUCUCUGGGCCAAUACUGACACUGAGGAGCGAAAGUCUGGGGAGCGAACAGGAUUAGAUACCCUGGUAGUCCAGACCGUAAACGGUGGGCACUAGUUGUGGGAACCUUCCACGGUUUCUGCGACGCAGCUAACGCAUUAAGUGCCCGCCUGGGGAGUACGAUCGCAAGAUUAAAACUCAAAGGAAAUUGAACGGCUGAGAGUGCGAGNGACACAGGAGAG